rnacentral:rRNA from 1 species
UUGAACGCUGGCGGCAGGCCUAACACAUGCAAGUCGAGCGGAUGAAGGGAGCUUGCUCCUGGCUUCAGCGGCGGACGGGUGAGUAAUGCCUAGGAAUCUGCCUGGUAGUGGGGGAUAACGUCCGGAAACGGGCGCUAAUACCGCAUACGUCCUGAGGGAGAAAGUGGGGGAUCUUCGGACCUCACGCUAUCAGAUGAGCCUAGGUCGGAUUAGCUAGUUGGUGGAGUAAAGGCCUACCAAGGCGACGAUCCGUAACUGGUCUGAGAGGAUGAUCAGUCACACUGGAACUGAGACACGGUCCAGACGCCUACGGGAGGCAGCAGUGGGGAAUAUUGGACAAUGGGCGAAAGCCUGAUCCAGCCAUGCCGCGUGUGUGAAGAAGGUCUUCUGAUUGUAAAGCACUUUAAGUUGGGAGAAAGGGCAGUAAGUUAAUACCUUGCUGUUUUGACGUUACCAACAGAAUAAGCACCGGCUAACUUCGUG